rnacentral:rRNA from 1 species
ACAUGCAAGUCGGAACGCAUGAUGGAUACCGGAGCUUGCUCCACCCUUCAUCAUGAGUCGCGAACGGGUGAGUAACGCGUAGGUAACCUGCCUUUUAGCGGGGGAUAACUAUUGGAAACGAUAGCUAAUACCGCAUAAGAUUUAGAGACUCCUGUCUCUGGAUUAAAAGAUACAAUUGUAUCGCUAAGAGAUGGACCUGCGUUGUAUUAGCUAGUAGGUGGGGUAAAGGCCCACCUAGGCGACGAUACAUAGCCGACCUGAGAGGGUGAUCGGCCACACUGGGACUGAGACACGGCCCAGACUCCUACGGGAGGCAGCAGUAGGGAAUCUUCGGCAAUGGGGGGAACCCUGACCGAGCAACGCCGCGUGAGUGA